UACGUAGGGUCCGAGCGUUGUCCGGAAUUAUUGGGCGUAAAGGGCUCGUAGGCGGUUCGUCACGUCGGGAGUGAAAACUCGGAGCUUAACUCCGAGCCUGCUUCCGAUACGGGCAGACUAGAGGUAGGCAGGGGAGAGCGGAACUCCUGGUGUAGCGGUGGAAUGCGCAGAUAUCAGGAAGAACACCGGUGGCGAAGGCGGCUCUCUGGGCCUUACCUGACGCUGAGGAGCGAAAGCGUGGGUAGCAAACAGG
rnacentral:rRNA from 1 species